rnacentral:sRNA from 1 species
GGUCAUGCGGGGGCCCUGGCCCCCACGCCAGCAGCUGGGGCCUUUUUGAGGUGGGGGCUCCCUGGACUCAGGUUCCUCCUUGGCCGCGGCUGUAGCUGAGAGAAGGGACAGGAGGUAGGAUGCCACCUCCUCCAGAAGCGCGGCGACCCGGGCUGUGUGGAAAUUCACUGGGCCUGAUGGAGCUGGAUGCAGCCUUGGAAAUUCUCCCUUUCCCUUUGGGCUCCCACAGCAGGCCCCCCAGUCCUGGGUGCAGGCUUGUGACGGCUGCUCAGGGAUCCAAACGUGGCCCCUGAGCUCUCUGCGAUGUGUUCCACAGUUCCCUGGAGGCAGAUGCCGCGUGAGGGUCAG